UACGGAAGGCAGCAGUGGGGAAUAUUGCACAAUGGGCGCAAGCCUGAUGCAGCCAUGCCGCGUGUAUGAAAAAGGCCUUCGGGUUGUAAAGUACUUUCAGUCGUGAGGAAGGUGUUAAGGUUAAUAACCUUAGCAAUUGACGUUAGCGACAGAAGAAGCACCGGCUAACUCCGUGCCAGCAGCCGCGGUAAUACGGAGGGUGCGAGCGUUAAUCGGAAUUACUGGGCGUAAAGGGCACGCAGGCGGUUAAUUAAGUUGGAUGUGAAAUCCCCGGGCUUAACCUGGGAAUGGCAUUCAAGACUGGUUAGCUAGAGUCUUGUAGAGGGGGUAGAAUUCCAUGUGUAGCGGUGAAAUGCGUAGAGAUGUGGAGGAAUACCGGUGGCGAAGGCGGCCCCUGGGACAAAGACUGACGCUCAUGUGCGAAAGCGUGGGGAGCAAACAGGGAUUAGAUACC
rnacentral:rRNA from 1 species